UACGAAGGGUGCAAACGUUGCUCGGAAUUAUUGGGCGUAAAGCGCACGUAGGCGGCAUCGCAAGUCCCAUGUGAAAGCCCACGGCUUAACCGUGGAAGUGCAUGGGAAACUGCAGUGCUUGAGUACUUAAGAGGAUCGCGGAAUUCCCGGUGUAGAGGUGAAAUUCGUAGAUAUCAGGAGGAACACCGGUGGCGAAGGCGGAUCUCUGGGCCGUAACUGACGCUGAGGAGCGAAAGCAUGGGGAGCGAACAGG
rnacentral:rRNA from 1 species